UACGUAGGGCACAAGCGUUGUCCGGAAUUAUUGGGCGUAAAGAGCUCGUAGGCGGCCAGUUGCGUCCGCUGUGAAAUCCCGGGGCUUAACCCCGGGCGUGCAGUGGAUACGGGCUGGCUAGAGGCAGGCAGGGGAGAACGGAAUUCCCGGUGUAGCGGUGAAAUGCGCAGAUAUCGGGAGGAACACCGGUGGCGAAGGCGGUUCUCUGGGCCUGUACUGACGCUGAGGAGCGAAGGCGUGGGGAGCAAACAGG
rnacentral:rRNA from 1 species